GAUGAACGCUGGCGGCGUGCCUAAUACAUGCAAGUCGAGCGAACAGACGAGGAGCUUGCCCCUCUGACGUUAGCGGCGGACGGGUGAGUAACACGUGGAUAACCUACCUAUAAGACUGGGAUAACUUCGGGAAACCGGAGCUAAUACCGGAUAAUAUAUUGAACCGCAUGGUUCAAUAGUGAAAGACGGUUUUGCUGUCACUUAUAGAUGGAUCCGCGCCGCAUUAGCUAGUUGGUAAGGUAACGGCUUACCAAGGCAGCGAUGCGUAGCCGACCUGAGAGGGUGAUCGGCCACACUGGAACUGAGACACGGUCCAGACUCCUACGGGAGGCAGCAGUAGGGAAUCGUCCGCAAUGGGCGAAAGCCUGACGGAGCAACGCCGCGUGAGUGAUGAAGGUCUUCGGAUCGUAAAACUCUGUUAUUAGGGAAGAACAAAUGUGUAAGUAACUAUGCACGUCUUGACGGUACCUAAGCAGAAAGCCACGGCUAACUACGUG
rnacentral:rRNA from 1 species